rnacentral:lncRNA from 1 species
CCAGCAACAAACAACUCUAAAUUUCAACAGCAGCUGCAAUACGAACAAUAACCAAACCCGAUUCCAGUUUUCAUCGACCCAACCCAUCGAUGAACACCUAACAACAACGAACCCUUAAAUCACAAAAACCUCUCUCUCUCCAUCUUAUCUCUGCAAUUCUCAAACCUAGAUCCAUCAUUGUUGACUUUUGGCUCAAGAUUGUGUGUCUCUAGCACCAAAAUC